ensembl:lncRNA
GGGUACUGUCAGCAUCCUGCUUACGUACCUUGCCUUGACCUACUUGUAUCUAGCUUCUUUGUGCCCAGAUUGGCAAGCUGAGUCAUAAUGACAGCAGUGAAUGCUAAAGAACUGGAUUCUGAGAACUCUGGAAUCCCUGAGGACAGCAGGAUGGAGAAUUCUUAUUAUGGGAUGGAGGGAAAUUAUUGCUAAGGGAACCCCAGUAAGAGUCAUCACACCCACAUUUCUGUCCACUACAUCCUUUCUGAGAUUCAAGUUAGAAGAUAACUCCUGGCUUUCCUGGGAGAAUGAGAAGGACCUCAGCCAGGGAGAUGCCUGCCUGGGGACACAGAGUGCAAAAGACCUCAAAAUAGAUCUUCUCAAGUUACCUGAAGGCAAAAGAGAUGCAGAGACACCAGUAAAAAAGCCUUCUCAAAUCAGAGUCCUUCCUAGGGCUCCAGGCAGGGCAAAGGACCAGAGUGUCCCCUCCCUGCCUUCUCGCCUACAGAAGGGCACUCAGCCAGGGACUGCUCAGAGGGGGUGAAUGGGAUGAUGGUGGUUCUCCAUGUUGGUUGGGCAGUAAUUCAACAAUUCAUUUAAAUUCAGUUAUUAAGCCACAGGUAGCAGGCAGUAACACAGACAUCAGGGAUUCAAAGACAAAAAACAUUAAAAUGCUUGCCUUUAAGACAAGGCAUCUGCUCUGACUUGGAGACCAGUGCAUAAACAUGAUCACAAGUUAGAGGAAGGUGAAGAAAUCAUAAUGAUGCUGCUCAUGGCAGAGGGAUUUGGGGGUUUAUCGAGCAAGUUGGAGGUUUUCAAGUUUUCUAGAAGCACAAUCCUUUGUUUUUCCAAACGAGGUCCUACACAGAACCUCACAGUUUUAGGAAUGAUCUUUCUAAAAUAUUGAUCUGACCACGUCACUCCUUGGCUUAAGGCAAGGGUCUACAAGAUCUUUCUAUAAAGGGCAAGAAAGUAUAUAUUUUAGAUUUUUCAGGCCAGACAGCCUCUGUUGAAACUACUCAGCUCUGUCCUUGCAGAGCUAAUGAAGCCGGACAGAAUAAAUAAAUGAACGGCCAUGGCUGUGUUCAAGAAAACUGCAUUUAUAAAAACAGGCGUAUUUGACCAAUGGGUUGUAGUUUGUUUACCUCUAGCACAGAGUUACUCAGAGGCUCCCCCCUCCUUCGCCUCAGACUCCAGACCUUUCCACAGUCUGAACCCCAGUGCCCAGUUUACCACUCUGUGCCUUCCUCCCACCGCAUCCUCUGCUCCAGCCAAAUGGAACUUUUCCAUGUAACCUGAAAACACCACGGCCCUUCAUAAAGCUAUGUCUUCCCAAUGUGAUGGUGUUAGGAGGUGGGGCCUUUGGGAAGUGAUCGAAUGACGAGGGUGGAGCUCUCAUGAAUGAGAUUAAUGCCUUUACAAAAGAGGCCCAAGAGAGCUCCCUCGUCCCUUCCACCCUGUGAGGAUCCAAUGAGAAGUCUGCAACCCAGAAGAGGGCCCUCGCCCGACCAUGCUGGCAUCCCGAACUUGUACUUCCAGCCUCUAGAACUGGUCCUAGAAAUUUCUCACCUAGAACUGGUGAGAAAGAAAUUUCUGUUGUUUAUAAGCCACCCAGUCUAUGAUAUUUUGUUAUGGCAACCCGAACAGUAUAAGACAUCCCUCAUCUCACUUUUUUUGGCAACCCCUGAUUAUUUUGAGAAGUUGUUUAUUCCUAUGCCCAUCUAUUCCAGCAGAGUCUGAGUUCCUCAAAGGCAGGGACUAUGUCUUCAUUCCCCUCUAGAUCCCAGCUCCCAAGACUAAGGAAUGUUUGAUGGAUAAAACAUACCUCAAAAAGUGGGAGGAAGUAGACUAAAGGGAAACAUAACUUUAUCCCUGUGUCUUGCUGCAUCAGAAUUGUCAUGGUCCAUUAUAAGGCGAUAUCGCCCCUUUAGAUAAAACCUGCAACUUCUAAUAUUUAGCCCCGGUGUUAGAGGCAGCUCUCAGCCAUCCUCUGAGAUUCUAUCACUAUUGCUCCUGCUUCCCACUCUAUUUUUUAUUUCAGGACUGUAAACCUACUUCCCAAAUUCUGUGUCUGCAAAAUCCCUCCUGGGAGCCUCCUUUCCAGAUUCCUCUUCUCUUCCUUCCUCCUCCAUCUGCUCUUUCUUUGUAAAUUUCACUACCAUUCCUCAACCCCUCAAUGCGUACAGAGUGGUGGAGGGUCAUUCCAGUGCUUUUCAUUGAGUAACUGGAAGUUUUGCCUAAAACCACUUAUUCAAUACAUAUUUUUUGAGCAUCUUCCAUGUAUUUAGGACACACCAGUAACCAAGGUAGAUGUACUUCAACCUCUCAAGAAGCUCAAGGUUUAUUGGAGAAGAAAGCAAGGCUGAGGAUUAGUAAGCGUUCCCGUAGAAAGCAGGGUCAUGGAGGCAGAAGCUAUAAACCAUACCUGGGAUGAUGCAGAGGCAGAAAGUUAGGUUAUUCUUCCUUUAUUAAGUGGUAUCUGAGGCAAAGGCUGGAGUGGGCAGAUUAAGUAGGAGUUAGCCAAGUGAGCAGGGACAAAGAGAGCACUGAGCAGGAGGACAGAAAGAGCAAAGACCUGAGAGUAAAAAAGAGGAUAAGUUCAGGGAAUGGAGAAUAAUUCUGUCUCAGAGAAAGCUAUAGCAUGUUCAAAGUUCAUGGCAAGUUUGAUCGGGGCCAACAUCACUAUCCCAGCAGUCGAAUCUGAUGAGUGGGACUCCCAACAGAAAUCUCAGGAAGAGGCAAUACUUGGAGCCAUUCAGAUGGAAGCCAUGUAAUUCCAGGAAGCCUGGAUCAGGGUAGGCUGGGCUACAACCCAGGUCCUAAGCCAAGAGCCAGCAGUUCAUGCAUUUAACAAAUAUGUAUGAGCCGCUGUUAGGUGGAGACAGCUGCAAUGGUGAGAUGGAUAGGCAGCUUUCAGAAGUUCAUCAAGCAGGCUGCAGGGGGUAAAGGGAGCUUGGAAUCAAGGUGUAAUACUGACAGGGGCCCCGAAGAGUCAAUCAGAAAGUAAGACAGAAUGAGGAAAAUAAAGAAGACAAAAGGAAAGCCCCCCAGCUGUGGGAAUCAUGUUGGCAAAACUCUAAUUCCAGAUGCCACUCACUGAUACAUUGGAACUCAUCACUAUUCUCUUCUGCCUGGCUUGGAUAUCGCUGCUUCUUGAAGUCAGUGUUGCUGAGCAUCAUGGCUGCUGUUAUCUCAGUCUAUAGCCAAAUGGCCCUGAGGAGUACAAUAGCUACUUGGCCCAGUUGAGGAAUCCCAAGCUCUGAAACAGUCUAGAGGCUAGCGUUCUUUAGGAUCAGUUUUGCCAGUGACGCUCCUCUUUCUUUCAACAUGGGGCUACAUCUAUCCUUUCAAUUGAAAAAAAGGCCAAAAAACACACCACCAUAGUAAAAUCCUUUUCAUGGAGAUUCCUUUCAGCUUUCUUCUUUAACCUUCAAUAUUCACUCCGCGAACACCUCACAGAGUCUCCUACUAUGCCUUUGGGGUCUUAGGUUAGAGUUCAGCCCUUAAUGAGCCUCCCCACACCGAGAACAGACAGCAAAGGCUGUCUGCCAGGGAGGAUUUACAUAUUCAGCAGCCCAGCUUCUCUUUCCUCUGCUCCGUUCAAGACAGAAGGGGCUGCAGAAGCCUUGAUCUCUGAGUGGUCUCUGGCCACAAGGUGGAGAGAUAAAACAGCUUUGCUGAGAACCCAAGGGAAGACUGAGCUGUGGCUGCCUGAGUCUUAUCAAAAGAAAAACGGUUACAGCACUUCUGUGGAUUUUCAAAAAAUAAAUAACACAGGAAAAAACUUGUAAGAAUAUGAAAUUAAAUUUGCCAAAUAUGCUGAGAGUUGGUCCUUGGAGAAACUUUAUCUCUACUGCAUAGUCAAACACAUCAACUUUGGGGGUGCCUGGAAAUGACUGUGUGGCAUAGAUUCAAUUUGUUCUUGUGUAGACAAUAUUAUCUGGCACCGGGAACAGGAAACUUCAGAACAGAUUUUGGUAAACACAAUUACAAAUUGUGAGGAAGGACUUCUGGGGGCUCUUCAUGGAUGUCACCAACAGGACCAGCUCAAAUCUCCCAACUGGUGGGACUUGUCGAGCAUCCUAGGAAGGAGUGAAGAGGAGACAGCAGCCAUCCUCUGGUGUCUUUGAUGGAUUGGCAUUUCUCAAAUUCAAGGCUGGAUAAUCGGUGGAAAAAAGCUGAAAUGUACUAAUGUGGCAUAUCCAUAAAGACCAGAAAGCCAGUUUUGUUUUCCCUAAAACAGAUUUUAGUCAUUUUGGGGAAUAACUUUUACUCACUUGUGUGUAUAAACACAUACAUGCUCACUUAUCCAAAACUGUAACAAUUCCAUUUGGAAGAAGGACAUGGCGUAGCCAUGAAGCCUCCGCCAAUUUCAGGCGAAUGUUAAAUACUGUUAAGGGGAGAGUAAUGUGGAUGUUUAAGGAAGCUGCCCUGUUGGGACAAGAAGGCCAUGGUCAGUAUUUACAGGCCAGAGAUUGUGUUGGCAGCAUUAACAUUAAUUGUGAGGCCACCUGGGGCUUUUAGGUUGUCCCUUCCUCAAGACAGCCAUGCCACACAGCCCUCAAGGGGAUGGCAGAGCCCUGCCAAGUGCACCUGGCAUGGAGCAUGUGGGCAGUGGGGGCUGGCACAGCGUCCAUCCUGGCUGAGCAAGGUAAGCUGGCAGAUGUUGGCUCCAACACAGACGGUGCCCAGGGGAGAGGCAGCCACUGGUGUCAGGAUUUGCUAAUUGCAUUGCCUCUUGGCA